UGGGGAAUUUUGGACAAUGGGGGAAACCCUGAUCCAGCCAUCCCGCGUGUGCGAUGAAGGCCUUCGGGUUGUAAAGCACUUUUGGCAGGAAAGAAACGUCGCGGGUUAAUACCCCGCGAAACUGACGGUACCUGCAGAAUAAGCACCGGCUAACUACGUGCCAGCAGCCGCGGUAAUACGUAGGGUGCAAGCGUUAAUCGGAAUUACUGGGCGUAAAGCGUGCGCAGGCGGUUCGGAAAGAAAGAUGUGAAAUCCCAGAGCUUAACUUUGGAACUGCAUUUUUAACUACCGGGCUAGAGUGUGUCAGAGGGAGGUGGAAUUCCGCGUGUAGCAGUGAAAUGCGUAGAUAUGCGGAGGAACACCGAUGGCGAAGGCAGCCUCCUGGGAUAACACUGACGCUCAUGCACGAAAGCGUGGGGAGCAAACAGGAUUAGAUACCCUGGGUAGUCCACGCCCUAAACGAUGUCAACUAGCUGUUGGGGCCUUCGGGCCUUGGUAGCGCAGCUAACGCGUGAAGUUGACCGUCUGGGGAGUACGGUCGGCAAGA
rnacentral:rRNA from 1 species